AAAUACUAAUCUCAACUAAUUUAGACACAACUGAAAGUCAAUUAACCAUGCUAUAGUUUGGGUGACUUACUAAGUCAAUAUACUAACACUUCUUAGUCGUAUACCUCAAAAGAAUCUACUAGAACAACUCAAAAGUUGCAAAGGCUCAAAUCUCGAAUGAUAUAAAGUGCUGCAGAAAAUUUGUUCAAGAGACUCAAAUAAAUAACCAGAGGGUAGAAAGGAGUAACUACCAAGUCGAACAAAAUGACCUAGAGUGAGAACCCAUCUGAUUUUUUUUUUUUUUUUUAAACUUAGUAGUAGUAAUACUAGGGGUUUAUAAACCAAAAGACGUCUACUGAGAUUUGGAUCAUGUGGACUGGCCAGGUCCAACAUAAUCACUUCCCAGUUACACGGGAAACAUCAUCCCGAACUUGGUAAUUCUGGGUCUUCUAAAUUCUCAUCAUACUAUACAUAACAAAACUUAAGUUCACACCAGCAAGCUAAAAGCUUAAACUCAGG
rnacentral:lncRNA from 1 species